rnacentral:rRNA from 1 species
ACCCGUUGAUCCUGCGGGAGAUUGCUGCUAUCGGGAUUCGACUUAGACAUGCAAGUCUGGCGCAAGCCGGCGAAAGGCUCAGUAACACGUUGGUAAUCUGCCCUAUGGUCAAGGACACCCACGGGAAACUGUGGUUAAACCUUGAUAGGAGAUUGUUUCUGGAACGAUCUUUCUCUGAAACUCGUGCCAUAGGAUGAGCCAGCGGCUGAUUAGGCUGUUGGUGGGGUAAUGGCCCACCAAACCGACGAUCAGUACGGGCCAUGAGAGUGGUAGCCCGGAGAGGGACACUGAGAUACUGGUCCCAGCCCUACGGGGUGCAGCAGUUACGAAACCUUUACCAUGCACGCAAGUGUGAUAAGGGGAUCCUGAGUGCUUAUGCAAUGCAUAGGCUUUUGUUAACUGUAAAUAGGUUAGCGAAUAAGUGGUGGGUAAGACUGGUGCCAGCCGCCGCGGUAACACCAGCGCCACGAGCGGCAAUCGCGUUUAUUGGGCCUAAAGCGUCCGUAGCCGGUUUAGUAAAUCCUUUGUGAAAUUGUUGCGCUUAACGUAACAGCAUGCAGGGGACACUGCUAGACUUGAGACCGGGAGGAGCCAGAAGUAUUCUGGGGGGAUCGGUAAAAUGAAUUAAUCCUCGGAAGACUACCAAUGGCGAAGGCAUCUGGCCAGAACGGAUCUGACGGUGAGGGACGAAAGCUAGGGGAGCGAACCGGAUUAGAUACCCGAGUAGUCCUAGCUGUAAACGCUGCGAGCAAGGUGUUGCGUAUUCUACGGGAAUACGCAGUGUCGAAGAGAAGUCGUUAAGCUCGCCGCCUGGGAAGUACGAUCGCAAGGCUGAAACUUUAAGGAAUUGGCGGGGGAGCACCACAAGGGGUGCGGCGUGCGGUUUAAUCUAACUCAACGCAGAAAACCUUACUAGAGGCGACGGCAGAAUGAAGGUCAGCCUGAAGGGCUUACCCAACAAGCCGAGAGGUGGUGCAUGGCCGCCGUCAGCUCGUGCUGUAAGGUGUCCUCUUAAGUGAGGCAACGAGCGAGACCUGUAUCUACAAUUGCUAACAGCCUUGUUAGGGACUGAGCACAUUGUAGAGACUGCCCUGGAAACAGGGAGGAAGGUGCAGGCUACGGUAGGUCUGUAUGCCCCGAAUCCUCUAGGCUACACGCGCGCAACAAUGGCAGCGACAAUGGGAUGCAACUCCGAAAGGAGAAGCUAAUCCUCGAAACGCUGUCUCAGUAUAGAUCGAGGGUUGCAACUCACCCUCGUGACAAUGGAAUCCCUAGUAAUCAGAAGUCAUCAUCUUCUGGUGAAUAUGUCCCUGCUCCUUGCACACACCGCCCGUCAAACCAACCGAGCAGGGUUUAGGUGAACCCACUAUUAAUUUGGGUGAAUCUAAGCUCAGUGAGGUGGGUUAAGUCGUCACAAGGUA